UACGGAGGGUGCAAGCGUUAUCCGGAUUCACUGGGUUUAAAGGGUGCGUAGGCGGGUUGGUAAGUCCGUGGUGAAAUCCCCAAGCUUAACUUGGGAACUGCCGUUGAUACUAUUUGUCUUGAAUAUUGUGGAGGUAAGCGGAAUAUGUCAUGUAGCGGUGAAAUGCUUAGAUAUGACAUAGAACACCAAUUGCGAAGGCAGCUUACUACACAACGAUUGACGCUGAGGCACGAAAGCGUGGGGAUCAAACAGG
rnacentral:rRNA from 1 species